rnacentral:rRNA from 1 species
GCAAGUCUACUUGAAAGCUACUUCGGUAGUGAUUAGGGUGGCGGACGGGUGAGUAACGCGUAAAGAACUUGCCCCUUAGUCUGGGACAACAGUUGGAAACGACUGCUAAUACCGGAUAUUAUGUAUUUAUCACAUGGUAGAUAUAUGAACGCUAUAUGCGCUAGGGGAGAGCUUUGCGUCCUAUUAGCUAGUUGGUGAGGUAAUGGCUCACCAAGGCGACGAUAGGUAGCCGGCCUGAGAGGGUGGAC